rnacentral:rRNA from 1 species
CCUACGGGAGGCAGCAGUGGGGAAUAUUGGACAAUGGGGGCAACCCUGAUCCAGCCAUGCCGCGUGUGUGAAGAAGGCCCUCGGGUUGUAAAGCACUUUCAGUGAGGAAGAACGCCUGGUGGUUAAUACCCAUCAGGAAAGACAUCACUCACAGAAGAAGCACCGGCUAACUCCGUGCCAGCAGCCGCGGUAAUACGGAGGGUGCGAGCGUUAAUCGGAAUUACUGGGCGUAAAGCGCGCGUAGGUGGCUUGAUAAGCCGGUUGUGAAAGCCCCGGGCUCAACCUGGGAACGGCAUCCGGAACUGUCAAGCUAGAGUGCAGGAGAGGAAGGUAGAAUUCCCGGUGUAGCGGUGAAAUGCGUAGAGUUCGGGAGGAAUACCAGUGGCGAAGGCGGCCUUCUGGACUGACACUGACACUGAGGUGCGAAAGCGUGGGUAGCAAACAGGAUUAGAUACCCGAGUAGUC